UACGUAGGGGGCAAGCGUUGUCCGGAUUUAUUGGGCGUAAAGAGCGUGUAGGCGGCUUUGCAAGUCCGUUGUGAAAACUCGAGGCUCAACCUCGAGACGCCGGUGGAAACUGCAAAGCUAGAGUACGGAAGAGGCGAGUGGAAUUCCCGGUGUAGCGGUGAAAUGCGCAGAUAUCGGGAGGAACACCAAUGGCGAAGGCAGCUCGCUGGGACGUUACUGACGCUGAGGAGCGAAAGCGUGGGGAGCGAACAGG
rnacentral:rRNA from 1 species